GCCCGGAUGGUUUAGUGGUAUAAUUCUCGCUUAGGGUUCCAAACUUCCUAAGUUACACAUUUGCGAGAGGUCCCAGGUUCGAUCCCUGGUUCGGGCC